GAGUUCUCUUGCAUUCUUCUUCUUCCACAUCCUUUUAUUCCUCCUCAGAUAUCCAUCUUCAACCUCUUAAAAGGUUCAAUAGAUUUGAAGGAAUAAUUCAGAUCAACCAGCAAGAUGAUUUUCACACGAGCUAGCACUCCCGAAGAGAUCGAUCAUAUCGGAGCUUCGAGUGGACCAUCCAUAGAGGCCGAACAUACUGUGCGGUAGUGAGCAACC
rnacentral:lncRNA from 1 species